GGUAUUGAAAUAAGAUUUUAAAUGAGUGCUAAGAGAAUGAUUAAACAAUUAAAAACUUUCUUUAAUUAAAUAAUUAAAUUUAAUUUUUUUAGUGCAAAAGCAAAAAUAAAAUUUAGGGACAAGAAGACCCUAUGAAUUUUUAUUAUUAAUAUUUUGCAAUUAAAUUAUUAAUAAUUUAAUUGGGGUGAUAAAAAAAGAAUAAAUAUCUUUUUAAUUAUUAAAUAAGUUCCGUUUUUAGCGAUUAAAUGAAAAAAAUACUCUAGGGAUAACAGCGUAAUAAUUUUGGAUAGUUCAUAUAGAUAAAAUAGUUUGCGACCUCGAUGUUGGAUUAGGAUUCUUUUUUGGUGUAGAA
rnacentral:rRNA from 1 species